rnacentral:misc_RNA from 1 species
GCGUCCACAGGGCCGAGAGGACCGGCACCAGGACCACCGCCAGUCCGGUGAUGAAUGCGGAGUGGGAAGCCGAAGUCCAACGCAAGCCUUGGGUUUGCAGGAAGUAGCCUAGGAACAGAAAUAGCCCGGUCGCCGCACCGGGCCACCAGGCUUCUCGGGGCACGCGCCGGACCAGGACCAUCAGCGCCGCCGCGCCCAGUGUGAAGCGCAAGGUCAGGAACAGGAGCGUGGACGCGUCCUUCAGCGCCUCCUUGACCACCACGAAGGUCGCGCCCCAAACGGCGCAGACCAACACCAGCAGGAGAUCGGCUUGAAGGCGGCGAGACACUAUUUGGCUGGGCGGCUCCAGAACAGCAGGCUCGGGGCAUCGGAACGCGCGGCCGCGAUGUCGGGAUAGCCGUCCCCGUCGAGGUCCGCGGCGGCCAGCCCAUAGAUCGCGCCCUGAUUAUCACCGAAGGGCACACGUUCAUACUUCCGCCCGGAGCCAUCAUUGAAAUAAAUUGCGCCCGGCGCUUUCACGUAGCCGACAAUGAUCUCGGCUUUGCGAUCCUUGUUCAGAUCUGCGGCGAGCAUCGAGUAGGGCAAGGCCUCCGGCCCGGCGACUAAGACGCCUGCUC